UUAAAGCCUCUGUGUGUCGUUUUUUCCCUUUUUGAAAAAAUUUAAUAAAAAAUAGGAAAGAAAUUUUCAGCAACCAGGCGGCUCCAUCGAAUUGUGAGGAUGAGAGAGAGGGAGAGAGAGAGAAAGAGUGACUCGUGUACGUCACUGACCAGCGUGAUCUUUUGCAUUGGUCGUAUUUUUAGUAGAUCGUUAAUUUAAUAGCGCCAACACUAACACACACCACGACGGCGAUGACGAUGAUGAUGAUGAUGAUGAUGGCGAAAGCAAGUCCGUCCGGAGUCAUAAUAAGGCAGAAUGGUGGCGUCCGAAGUUGUUCCCAAUCCAUCCGGUGUCCAUCUCUACGAACAAUAGUGUUUCCUUGCCCUAUCGGAUAUCAUAGUAGGUUUUGAUAAACGUGCAUGAAAUAAGACAUGUGAUUGCGUCUGCUGCGAGAAGAAGUGGUACAGCUACGGCAAGGAUUCCCAGCAGGUAUACGAGAAAUGGCGCCGAAUGUCGUACCAAGUAUACUGGUCACGUAUUCUUGUUGAACUUUUACCAGACACGAGUCGUCGUCGACUAGCUCACUUGGAUGACGAUCACCCACUUCCGGUCGCAAAUGGAUGUACACACUCAGUGUAUCACCAACAUCAUCAUCAUCAUCAUCAUCAGCCUUCAACCCUGCUGCACACGAAGCGUAACGCGUAACGCGCUAGAGUGCAAUUUUGCAAAUGGUGCAAAACCGCAACAUCCGCCGCGGUGCAUGUGUCUGUGUGUCUGCGGCACGCGAUGCGGUUCAAACUAAGGGACACCACUCUAGCCCGCCACUCUCCAGCGCGCAAAAUCGUGCAGCACAAGAUCAUCGUGCCCAGCUCGGUGCUCGGUGGCAUAUUUCUACCGGACGCGGGUUCGAUGCCGCCUGCCUAAAUCGUAUUGACGGAUGUUGUUUUAGUAUGUGGUCUCCACUAAUCCAGAUGACAUUCCGCAGGGAAAUGUUUAAUGCACUGACUGCCAAGUGCCAAGUUGAACUCGCUUCGACCUAUGGAGGCCGUGUUUUGGAAUUUUGCCGUAUGCUGCUUCGCGCCGCCAACGUAACGAAUGACAUAAAUAGUCCAAAAUUCGAACCGCGUACCGAUCGUUCGGCGUACAGAGAUAAAACUCCCCGCUCCCCAUACUGGCCGUAGCGACCGAGCUGAAGCGAGCCGCGAUGGUAGCUUCUUUCAUGGCGCCUCCAAUCUGGCGUCUGGUUAGCUUGCGUUGGGCCAUUGCACGACGGGAGCGUAAUUGAUGAUAGAUAUCUAGAGCGGGCGACCAGCCUGGGCACGCCUUAUGGGCGUACAAAUGGGCGCAGGCGCUCGCGUGCACUGUGCACUGAGAUGCACAUUCCCCUUUUCAGCUAAUGAGCCAGCAUCAAAAUGCCAUCAUGAGAUGUAUCUAGAACGCAGUAUGCGGCGGCAGUCUAGCAAGCGGUGUGCGAUGGGCAAAUCACACCAGGUCACACCAGUCCAGUGUGAAAGCUGUGAAUGGCCGAUGAGGUUGCUCACAUAUAGAGAGAGAGAGAGAGAGAGAGAGAGAGAGAGAGAUUCGGUGUCAACCAUUUUUCACAGCUUCAUUGCCCAUCCGACGUCAGCAAUGCAGUAGCAGAAGCUAACAACAACAACAACAAUAGCAACAGCAGCUAAUAACCAAACGGCCAUGCAUUACCAGCCAAUGCUGGCGUGCGGAGGAAAUCCCGUCCUGGCGGCAGCAGUACGGUAGUGGUUUGUAUAUUUAGAGUAGACUAGGCCGGGAAAAGUGGCCGAUCGAGGGAUGGGGUGGAGGUAAAAGUGGGAGUAAUCUAUAAAUAGAAAUUACUCAAUUUCAUUAACAUUUUUUCCCCAACAUUCACACUAACAUCUACCGGCAAGGGGCCAAGAGAUCGACUCUAGUCGUACAGCUCAAACACGCAAACACACUUUACUUGCAAGUCUUGCAAGUCUUCGCUCUGGGUAUGUGGAUGGCAAGGAGAUGGCAGUGGAUCGUCCAUCGUAGUAAUCGGCGACGACAAGCACGAGGGGUUGGGGAGGAAGCGAGCGAUCGAAAGCGUUGGUAAACAUUCGGGGCACUAUUUUUCGCUGUCUCAAAAUUGCGUCGCGAACGCUUGGAUUACUGCAAGCAUUUGAUAAGAUAUUUUCCUACGUCCGGCAGAGCGCGACAAUUUUGGUUGGCUGCAAAACCGGAAGAACGGUCGAGAAGUUCGCCGUGUGUCAUCAUUAUCUUGUUGCUGCACAAAAAUCUUUCCGAGUGUCCGGGAUUCGUGAAAGAUAUUAUUAUUUUGAUUGCUCUUCUCAAACUCCUUGGCGCAGGACAGGUACCUGGGCCUCCAGGAGAACGACGCUUUGCCUGGCUAGGAAGGGUGUCGUGUCAACGUGCCUCGAGUUUGGCUAACAAACCUGGCA